rnacentral:tRNA from 1 species
GGGUCUAUAGCCCAGUGGUAAAGCAUUUGACUGCAGAUCAAAAGGUCACCCGGUUAAAGCCU